CUUACUGGAGAAAGACAUGCCAAGCCUGAGAACGUUGAGUACCCGAGGCCAAGUUCAACAAGGCCAAGUUCAACAAGGCCAGGGAACUUUCCGGCAAGAAAUUAUCCCAUCUGUAACAAGGCCAGUCUCGUGGACUGUAGCUCAUAAUUGGCAGGAAGUUACAGUGCCAUAACUCAGAUGGGAUAAGAUUCAUCAUUGGGCCCCUGGACUUCUCACCUAGGACCCUAAGAAUGCACCCUUGAAGCCUUUGUCUUCCCUCUUGCCCAAUAGAUUGAAGAUCCAUUGAGGAGUCUUACUCUAGAACCAGUGCUUCAGACAGACAUUGUUGAAACUGGAUUAAGUGGACGUACAAGGACCCGCACAUUUGGUCCCAGCAUCCUCCCAGGUCAUCCCGUACCCCACCCACAUGGACUCAUCAUCCUCAUUUUUGCGCUGCCAGCCUUUGCACAUGCCACUUCCUUUGCCUGGAAAGGCUUCUUUCUGAUUCUGCUUGCCUGGAAAAGUCCAAUCCUCCUUUAAAAACCAGCUCAAAGAUCACCUCUAUGAAGGCUCCCCUGAAAAAGGAAGGCACUGUCAUCUAUACACUCAAUUAUUCACUCACACAUGCUUAUUGAGUGCUGUCCUACCCUUCAGCCAAGACCACCAAGAAUGUGCCAGCGAUGA